rnacentral:rRNA from 1 species
UGAGGAACAUGACCUUCGGCGGGGGAUAGCCGGCCCAACGGCCGGGUAAUACCGCGUACGACCUUUCGGGGACAUCCCUGGAUGGUGAAAGCAGCAAUGCGCCGAUGGAGUGCCUCGCGGCCUAUCAGCUAGUUGGUGAGGUAACGGCCUACCAAGGCGACGACGGGUAGCUGGUCUGAGAGGACGACCAGCCACACUGGAACUGAGAUACGGUCCAGACUCCUACGGGAGGCAGCAGG